GCAGAGCAUCCUACGGGAGGCAGCAGUGGGGAAUAUUGCACAAUGGGCGCAAGCCUGAUGCAGCCAUGCCGCGUGUAUGAAGAAGGCCUUCGGGUUGUAAAGUACUUUCAGCAGUGAGGAAGGUGGGUAUGUUAAUAGCAUAUUCAUUUGACGUUAGCUGCAGAAGAAGCACCGGCUAACUCCGUGCCAGCAGCCGCGGUAAUACGGAGGGUGCGAGCGUUAAUCGGAAUUACUGGGCGUAAAGCGCAUGCAGGUGGUUUGUUAAGUCAGAUGUGAAAGCCCGGGGCUCAACCUCGGAAAUUGCAUUUGAAACUGGCAAACUAGAGUACUGUAGAGGGGGUAGAAUUUCAGGUGUAGCGGUGAAAUGCGUAGAGAUCUGAAGGAAUACCGGUGGCGAAGGCGGCCCCCUGGACAGAUACUGACACUCAGAUGCGAAAGCGUGGGGAGCAAACAGGAUUAGAUACCCUGGUAG
rnacentral:rRNA from 1 species